UCCCUGGUAGUAUAUCGGUUAGUACACGCGCCUGUCAUCCAUAUUGCUUUGGCACCAAUCAGUCCCGCGCGAAAGCUGGGUUCGACUCCCAGCCAGGGAG